rnacentral:misc_RNA from 1 species
GGUUCAAGAGAACUCAAAAAUCUAUGGUCAGAGAUUAAACGUACCUUCAGUGACCUGCAGUGUUUAUUACUUCCCUUUCCUGGUUCUGCAGUGGAGAAAGGGUUUGCAAAAACUGGGGACUUGAAUGAACUUGACAAGGAAUUUCUGAAGCAAGUGAAAAGCUUCAUCACAAAUAUCUUUGCACCUAAAAACUUGGUUCCUCCUAAAACGAAACUGACGGGUGAAGGAGUAUACAGAUUGCUGAUGAGUGUUGACGGGAAGAUAGCAGAUGACAAUCUGUCUUUCUUAAAUGUAAGUAAAUUUAGAUGUAAAGGUAUCAUUAAAAACUUGGUUCCUCCUAAAACGAAACUGACGGGUGAAGGAGUAUACAGAUUGCUGAUGAGUGUUGACGGGAAGAUAGCAGAUGACAAUCUGUCUUUCUUAAAUAUGUUCACCGAGAAUAUAAAUUUUUCCAAGGAGUCACUGCUUUUAGCGAGAUUUCCAGGUGGAUUUCAAGACCUUGACCUUCUACAGAAACUUAAGACAGAAAUUGAAACUGAGGGUGAAAAUGCGUUCAGAGGGCAGUCAAAAACACGUUUUAAUGAAAGACUUAAAAGGACUCUGGAACAGAUGAUGAACUCAGAAGUUAUUCAGAAAGUAUACAAGAAAUACGAGGACAAUUUUUCAAGUUCAAAACGAACCAAACAAUGUCAUGAAAUUUGGAAAGGUUGUGUGUCUCUUUUGGAUAAAUAUAUGUGUGGAAACACUGCUACUCGAAUCCAAACCAGGGAAAAAGCUGUUAAAAAAAUGUCAGAUGUAUAUUAUAGACAACUUUAUGAAGAAGUGUAUAAUGAUUUUAAGGACAGCAUAAAAGAUUUGAAGGAACUGGAAGAGUUGACUGGUUUGGAUGAUAAAACUGUAAAAGAAAGAUUCCUGAAAUUGGACGACUUUACGGAUAUAGUAGAUACUAAUGUCAUCCAUCCGAUAUGGCUGAAAUACCAUCAAAAUUUGAAAUGUUGUGUAACUGAACACUUUUUAAAGAAAAUUGAAGAACUAACUGGUGCAGAGAAUUUGGAAAAUGUAAGAGCGGAGCAAUAUAAGUUCUAUGAAGCAUGUACCUUAUUGAAAAAGAAUGGUGAUAUUUGGGAUAGUAUACCAGGAGACAAAACAUUGCUAUUUAAAAAAGUUGGUUAUGCCCUAUUUGGCCCUCCCAAACAAGUUAUUCAUACUGAAAUACGUCCUACACAAACUGAUACAAAUAAAAACUGUACAGUUGCAACAGGAUAUUAUAGUGAUCAAGACAAAAAAAUUAUAUCAAUUGUUAAUGCCAUUCUUAGUUGCACAGAUAAAGAAAUCAAAUUUUCCUAUGUGUAUGUGACGUAUCAAGAAGAUUCUAUAGACACUAGUAUUCCUGAAGAAGAAAAGAAUCAAAACAUUUCCAGUAUUCCUGAAGAAGAGAAUAAAAAAAUUUCCAGUAUUCCUGAAGAAGAAGAGAAUAAAAACAUUUCCAGUAUUCCUGAAGAAGAAGAGAAUAAAAAAAAUUCCAGUAUUCCUGAAGAAGAAGAGAAUAAAAACAUUUCCAGUAUUCGUAAAGAAGAAGAGAAUCAAAAAGUUUCUAGUAUUCCUGCAAAGAAAAAAAUCAAAAAUAUUCCUGUGUUUAAAACUCAUAGUGGUGGAUCCAAUAUUGUGUACAUAGAUACAAAUUGUCGUGUAUAUGAAAGCUGGGCUGACUUCUUAACGACAAAUACCCUACCUGAUAUUGUCAUUUGUUAUCCUUUACAUGGAAGUUAUGACAUAAAAACCGGUUUCAGUGUCGGUUUUUUCAAGACACCUGUGCUAAAUCCAAAGCACUAGAAGCCGCAGAUAAAGUAGAGAAGGUAAUUUCUGUUGGCGCUGGAGUUGCUGGGGUUGCCGCUUUGGUAGUUGCUGCUCCCGUACUCGCUCCCUGUGCAGUCGUAGGCGGUGCAGCUGCAGGCAUCUAUGGCUUUGGCCGUUGUGUUGUCAAAAUACUAGACAAGAAGAAGCAUAAUGAGCCUUAUGCUAAAGAGGUAGUGAAAGGUGCAUUUAAUGUUAUUGCUGUAGCUGCAGCUGGAGCUUUGAGAGUUGCAGAAGGGGCUGUUGUGGUGAGCACUAAAAUUGCACAGGGAAUAUGUGGUCUUAAUGGCUUUGUAGGUUUGCUUUAUUCGGAUAAUACGACUAAAUUAAUUGAAUUAUUGGACGAACUUUGUGAUCAAUCUUCAAUGAUAUCUUUCUACUUUAAUGCUGCAUCAACUUCAGAAGCGAUAGAAAACAUUAGAAAAGCUCUUAAAAUAAAUGAAGAUAGUGAUGAUGUUGAAGUUUUGUUGGCUCUUGUAAAUGUCAACAGCAUUCAGUACAGUGUUGAUAAGGGAGACGUUAUUAAUAUAGAAAAAUAUGUUUCUGAAAACGUAACAGAACUGGUAUUUAAACUGUUAAAUACUAUCAGUACUGCUGAGAAAGAUAUACUCAUUCUUCUUGCAGAAAUAAACCAGUAUGCACAGUUCCUGACUGAAGAAACAUCCGAGGAUGUGUACAAUAAAAUUGAUAUUAACAUGUCGAAACUCUAUGGAAACUUACAGAAAGAAAAUGAGAAAUACAGUUCUGCAUAUAAUCAAUUAAUAAGUAAUGGAAACGAAGAAGACAAGCAUCGUAUAUUAUUAAUAUUGCGUUAUUUGAUGUGUUCUGUGUCAAGCAGAGUUAGAGAAGUGAAUCAGUACUGUAACAACAUCGAGCACCGACCUGUCUGUCUAAUGAGUUACAAUGUCAGGUGCCAUCCUCUUGAAGAGGUUAACCGUAAGAUCAAAGAUAAAAUAGAGCAAAAUAAAUCAUUUACUGACAGUUCCUCAGAACUAGAUGAUUUCUUACCACAGAUACUAGAUUUUCUUCCGAGAAAUGCUACACCUAACUGGAAUUUAACUCAGUAUGCACAGUGUCUAUUAUCAAUUACUGUUCGAAUGAUGAAAAUGUUUGACGAAGAUAUAAAAAAACUUAAAACUAAAGUACCAAAAAAAAAUCCAACUUGCAAUGACUUAAAUGAUAUUUUUGAAGAGAUCGGUAUAAAAGGAAAUUAUGGGAAGGAAUUGUUUGAAAGAGUGCUACAAGAGUACCAAGUUGAUCAGCUGCAGCAAGUAGACUCAGACCCCAAGGGGUUGACAUGUGUGCAGGCAUGGUAUGGCAUGGCUGAUAACCUGAAUUGCUACUACUCAAGUUGCUGUGACGAUCCCGAGGAAUUGUUUGACAAGUUAUUUCCUUAUGAUAGUGAUAACUUUGAAGAGAGAAAAGUAACUGAAAACCUAACUUAUUGGAAACCUUGUGUGUCUAAUUUACCAGGGUAUUUUGUCUAUUCAUUAUCAGAUAAAAAACAGGGUUUAACGUAUUUGAUUCCGAGUGAGACUGAUUGCCAAGUUUCAGUGAAAGAACCUCGACAGAAUGGCAGAAUGGGAGAACUAUGCGCUUCACCUAAUUAAAAGAAGUAAUCAUGCAUGUUGACAAGGAACUUCUGCAAUGAGGACAAGAUAUCCAUCACUAUAACAUCCGUCACACUUCAAACUUCCACCUGCCUCUCUACACCACACCAUGCAAUUUGAAAUGAAACCGUCUUACAUGGGCAGAAAAUUAUUCAACCUUCUACCAGACUACAUGAAGACACUUCAAGGAAAGAAGCUGAAGACAUCCCUGACCAUAUGGCUCAUCGACAGACCAUACUACUCCGUAGAAGAGUCCUGAACUGGAGAAGAGAAGCCAACACAACUUGACUCACUAGACAAUUUUUAAUAAACCGAAACCUGUAUUUUACUGACGCAUGUACAUUUCUCCAUGAAAUUGUAAAUAAAGACUAUUGACUAUUGAGAAAAACGCAAA